rnacentral:lncRNA from 1 species
AUUAAUUACAACAUAUACAUUGCAUAUGCUUUGGAAUAGCAAGAGGUAAUGAAAUAGGAUAACAAUUAUAAGCGGUAAAGAAUGGUAGUUAGUAAUAACAGAAUAAUACAAGGCAAAAAACUUUAUAAUAAACAACUGGUAAAGAGGUAAAAGUUAGCAUAAAUAAACAAAGGAACUCAGCUAUGACAAAGUACAAGGUAUUAAUAUUAGGUUUACACAAGAGGUGAUAAUCUAUAAAUAAAUUGGAAUAUUAUAUACAAUAAAAUAGAAUAAUAUGGCACAGAAAUGAAUGGUAACACAUGUAGGUCAGAAUUGUGAAGCAUGCAAUUUGUUUUCGACUAAUGUUAAAAAAGCAGAUAAGGUUGGGCUGUUUGUAAUGGUAGGGUCCAGCUUGUUCCAUUCACGCGUCAUUAAAGGAAAAAAGGAAUGCUUAUGACUUUCCGUAUGAAUUGGGUGUUCGUUUAAUAAUAGUGAAUGUUUGU